UGGAUGAACUACUGAAAGCUGCUGAGUGUCCUGCAGCAGGCCAUUUCCAAUCCAGCGGAAGACCUUCUAGAAGAGAUGAUGGUGGGAGAGUGCUGACAUACUAUGUGAAGCUACUAUUUGGAGUUGGACACGAGUGCAUGUGUCCUUGUGCCACAACGGGAAUCUUGACUACAACACAAAUGAAUCCACUCAAAUGUUGGCAAGUGGAGCAGAGUCCCAGAACAGGUACAGAAACACCCCCAGUUCAAGGAUCUUCACACCUGGAUUUAGGCCUACUCCUGCAACUACCCCAGGCACCAAUUUGAUCUUCUACUACUUUGCAGACAUCUCUUCUGCAAACACCAGACAAAUUGAGACAAUGACCUUCCACAGGACCCAAAUCACCUCUUACUGCAGGAAAGAAGAUCCAGUGAGAAAAUUAGUCCACAAAUGGAAUGUAAAUCCAUAAACACUCUUAAGUAACAGAAUAAAUUUAGUAUGAACGUUUUUAUGUGGGAGCUCUUGAAAUGGUUGCUGCUCAUAUGUCAGAGACACAUGCAGUUUAAGAAAGGUAGCAGUUCCAAUCCUGGUUUGGCCCA
rnacentral:lncRNA from 1 species